GAUGAACGCUGGCGGCGUGCCUAAUACAUGCAAGUCGAGCGAACGGACGAGAAGCUUGCUUUUCUGAUGUUAGCGGCGGACGGGUGAGUAACACGUGGAUAACCUACCUAUAAGACUGGGAUAACUUCGGGAAACCGGAGCUAAUACCGGAUAAUAUUUUGAACCGCAUGGUUCAAAAGUGAAAGACGGUCUUGCUGUCACUUAUAGAUGGAUCCGCGCUGCAUUAGCUAGUUGGUAAGGUAACGGCUUACCAAGGCAACGAUGCAUAGCCGACCUGAGAGGGUGAUCGGCCACACUGUAACUGAGACACGGUCCAGACUCCUACGGGAGGCCGCAGUAGGGAAUCUUCCGCAAUGGGCGAAAGCCUGACGGAGCAACGCCGCGUGAGUGAUGAAGGUCUUCGGAUCGUAAAACUCUGUUAUUAGGGAAGAACAUAUGUGUAAGUAACUGUGCACAUCUUGACGGUACCUAAUCAGAAAGCCACGGCUAACUACGUG
rnacentral:rRNA from 1 species